rnacentral:lncRNA from 1 species
CCCAGAGCAGGUCCAGGGGUGAGUGGGCCACAGGCCUGUUUGCACAGGUGCCUUCUUCGAGGGAGGGAACAGCCCACCACCACCUCCUGCCAGACCAGCUUCCUUGAGCAUAAACCUGACCCUGGGUGACCACGCUGGGCUCCUUCACCUUAUCUCACCAGAGGCUUCUGCUGGUCCCACAGCCAACCCGCGGAGUGAGGUCUGGGCCAGGAGUGCUCUGCUCAGGCAAGGAACAUGCCCAGAAGCCUCCCCCGCUAUCCUGGCCCUGUUCUGUGGGGGCUCGUUGGACACCAGCACAUCCCUGACCCCAGCUGUGGCUGCCAGUGAGUUCCUGUGCCUUCCUCUCCUGAAGUCUGUGUCUUCUCCCAGGUCUGAUACCAUGUGGAAAGUCUGCUCCUGGGGCCAGCUGGAGGCCAUGUGGACUGGCCCUGAGUGCCCACUGUCUGGAUGCAGCCCUGACCCUACUGCCCGUGUGUGGGCUACUAGGUUCACCUGCACCUGACCCUCCUUCUAGGUUCGCCUGCACCUGACUCCCUGAUGUUCACACAGUGAUUUGGAGAGGGAGGCUGGGGAGGCGCAGGUCUGCAUGGCAGUGCCUCUCAGGGUCUGAGGCCCUUGGGCCAGGCCUCUCCUCUGACCUGGGCCAGCAGAGGGGCCUCCUUUCC